rnacentral:misc_RNA from 1 species
AACGCACAUUGCGCCCUUUGGUAUUCCAUGGGGCAUGCCUGUUCGAGCGUCAUUUGUACCUUCAAGCUCUGCUUGGUGUUGGGUGUUUGUCUCGCCUCUGCGCGCAGACUCGCCUCAAAACGAUUGGCAGCCGGCGUAUUGAUUUCGGAGCGCAGUACAUCUCGCGCCUUGCACUCAUAACGACGACGUCCACAAAGUACAUUUUUACACUCUUGACCUCGGAUCAGGUAGGGAUACCCGCUGAACUUAA